rnacentral:rRNA from 1 species
AGAUGGCGACCGGCGCGCGGGUGAGUAACACGUAUCCAACCUGCCGAUAACUCGGGGAUAGCCUUUCGAAAGAAAGAUUAAUACCCGAUAGUAUGAUGAAACCGCAUGGUCUUAUUAUUAAAGAAUUUCGGUUAUCGAUGGGGAUGCGUUCCAUUAGGCAGUUGGUGAGGUAACGGCUCACCAAACCUUCGAUGGAUAGGGGUUCUGAGAGGAAGGUCCCCCACAUUGGAACUGAGACACGGUCCAA